rnacentral:rRNA from 1 species
AGGUAAUCUACCUUAGAGAUUGGGAUAACUCGGCGAAAGCCGGACUAAUACCGAAUAAUGCAGCGGCUCCUUCGGGAGAUGUUGUUAAAGUGGGCUUCGGCUCACACUUUAAGAUGAGCCUGCGUCCGAUUAGCUUGUUGGUGAGGUAAUGGCUUACCAAGGCGAUGAUCGGUAGCUGGUCUGAGAGGACGAUCAGCCACACUGGAAUUGAGAUACGGUCCAG